GCGUUAUCCGGAUUUACUGGGUUUAAAGGGUGCGCAGGCGGAUAUGUAAGUCAGUGGUGAAAUCUCCGGGCUUAACCCGGAAACUGCCGUUGAUACUAUAUAUCUUGAAUGCCGUGGAGGUAAGCAGAAUAUGUCAUGUAGCGGUGAAAUGCUUAGAUAUGACAUAGAAUACCUAUUGCGAAGGCAGCUUACUACACGGAGAUUGACGCUCAUGCACGAAAGCGUG
rnacentral:rRNA from 1 species